GAGCGGUAGAGAUUCUUCGGAAUCUUGAGAGCGGCGUACGGGUGCGGAACACGUGUGCCAACCUACCCUUUAUCUGGAGGAUAGCCUUUCGAAAGGAAGAUUAAUACUCCAUAAUAUAUUGAUUGGCAUCAAUUGAUAUUGAAAGCUCCGGCGGAUAGAGAUGGGCACGCGCAAGAUUAGUUAGUUGGUGAGGUAACGGCUCACCAAGACGAUGAUCUUUAGGGGCCUGAGAGGGUGAUCCCCCACACUGGUACUGAGACACGGACCAGACUCCUACGGGAGGCAGCAGUGAGGAAUAUUGGUCAAUGGGUGCAAGCCUGAACCAGCCAUCCCGCGUGAAGGACGACUGCCCUAUGGGUUGUAAACUUCUUUUGUAUAGGGAUAAACCUACCCUCGUGAGGGUAGCUGAAGGUACUAUACGAAUAAGCACCGGCUAACUCCGUG
rnacentral:rRNA from 1 species